rnacentral:rRNA from 1 species
GAUGAACGCUGGCGGCGUGCCUAAUACAUGCAAGUCGAGCGAACAGACGAGGAGCUUGCUCCUCUGACGUUAGCGGCGGACGGGUGAGUAACACGUGGAUAACCUACCUAUAAGACUGGGAUAACUUCGGGAAACCGGAGCUAAUACCGGAUAAUAUAUUGAACCGCAUGGUUCAAUAGUGAAAGACGGUUUUGCUGUCACUUAUAGAUGGAUCCGCGCCGCAUUAGCUAGUUGGUAAGGUAACGGCUUACCAAGGCGACGAUGCGUAGCCGACCUGAGAGGGUGAUCGGCCACACUGGAACUGAGACACGGUCCAGACUCCUACGGGAAGCAGCAGUAGGGAAUCUUCCGCAAUGGGCGAAAGCUUGACGGAGCAACGCCGCGUGAGUGAUGAAGGUCUUCGGAUCGUAAAACUCUGUUAUUAGGGAAGAACAAAUGUGUAAGUAACUAUGCACGUCUUGACGGUACCUAAUCAGAAAGCCACGGCUAACUACGUG